rnacentral:rRNA from 1 species
UAUUUAUUAGAUAACAGACCAAUAUUCCUCGUGUCUAUUGUGGUGACUCAUAGUAACUGAUCGGAUCGCAUGGCCUUGUGCCGCGACUAACCAUUCAAGUUUCUGACCCAUCAGCUUCCGAUGGUAGUGUAUUGGACUACCAUGGCUUUCACGGGUAACGGAGGAUUAGGGUUCGAUUCCGGAGAGGGAGCCUGAGAAACGGCUACCACAUCUAAGGAAGGCAGCAGGCGCGUAAGUUACCCAAUCCUGACUCAGGGAGGUAGUGACAAGAAAUAACGGGUCGGGGCAUUCGCCUCGGGAUUGCAAUGAAUCGAAUUUACACCCCUUAAUGAGGAUCAAUUGGAGGGCAAGUCUGGUGCCAGCAGCCGCGGUAAUUCCAGCUCCAAUAGCGUAUAUUAAAGUUGUUGCAGUUAAAAAGCUCGUAGUUUGAUUUCUGGACGGGCGCCAACACCCGCUUGUUUAGUGUGGAGGCGGCGCCCGCCCAUCCUUCUGUUAACGCCACCGGCAUUCGUUUGCUGGCGGCGGGCUCAGAUAUUUUACCUUGAGAAAUUAGAGUGUUUCAGGCAGGCUUGCGCC